AUACGUAGGGGGCGAGCGUUGUCCGGAAUGAUUGGGCGUAAAGGGCGCGUAGGCGGCUUUGCAAGUCAGUAGUGGAAGUCCAUUUUUCAAGGAUGGAAGUGCUACAGAAACUGCGGAGCUUGAGUGCAGGAGAGGUUAUCGGAAUUCCCGGUGUAGCGGUGAAAUGCGUAGAGAUCGGGAGGAACACCAGUGGCGAAGGCGGGUAACUGGACUGCAACUGACGCUGAGGCGCGAAAGUGUGGGGAGCAAACAGGAUUAGAUACCCUGGUAGUCCACACUGUAAACGAUGAAUGCUAGGUGUAGGAGGUAUCGACCCCUUCUGUGCCACAGUAAACACAGUAAGCAUUCCGCCUGGGGAGUACGGUCGCAAGAUUAAAACUCAAAGGAAUUGACGGGG
rnacentral:rRNA from 1 species